rnacentral:rRNA from 1 species
GACGAACGCUGGCGGCGUGCUUAACACAUGCAAGUCACGGGGGCCCGCAAGGGUAACCGGCGAACGGGUGCGUAACACGUGAACAACCUGCCCUCGUGUGGGGGAUAGCCAUGCUAACGCGUGGGUAAUACCGCAUACGUUCUCCGAAGGGAUUCCUUUGGAGAGGAAAGCUCCGGCGCACGGGGAGGGUUCGCGGCCUAUCAGCUAGUUGGCGGGGUAAUGGCCCACCAAGGCGACGACGGGUGGCCGGUCUGAGAGGACGAUCAGCCACACUGGGACUGAGACACGGCCCAGACUCCUACGGGAGGCAGCAGUGGGGAAUCUUGCGCAAUGGGCGAAAGCCUGACGCAGCGACGCCGCGUGGGGGAAGAAGGCUCUCGGUUGUAAACCCCUUUCAGGAAGGACGAAGCUACUCGGGUUAAUAGCCCAGGAGGGUGACGGUACUUCCAGAA